GCAACCGAAGAGUCCAUGAACCGCCCGACCUAGUCUGAUCUUGGAAGGUAAGCAGGGUCGGGCCUGGUUAGUACUUGAAUGGGAGAAAGCAACCGAAGAAACAUGCCAUAUGCUCAAUUUUGGUUGUU
ensembl:rRNA 5S_rRNA 5S ribosomal RNA